ACUCAGACUGGAAAGGCGGACGG
rnacentral:piRNA from 1 species